AAAUCUUAGGUAAAUCCGGGGUUUCAAGGCCGAGAGCUGAUGACGAGUCGUCUUUUAGAUGACGAAGUGGUUGAUGCCAUGCUUCCAAGAAAAGCUUCUAAGCUUCAGGUAACCAGGAACCGUACCCCAAACCGACACAGGUGGUCGGGUAGAGAAUACCAAGGCGCUUGAGAGAACUCGGGUGAAGGAACUAGGCAAAAUGGCACCGUAACUUCGGGAGAAGGUGCGCCGGCUAGGGUGAAGGAUUUACUCCGUAAGCUCUGGCUGGUCGAAGAUACCAGGCCGCUGCGACUGUUUAUUAAAAACACAGCACUCUGCAAACACGAAAGUGGACGUAUAGGGUGUGACGCCUGCCCGGUGCCGGAAGGUUAAUUGAUGGGGUUAGCGCAAGCGAAGCUCUUGAUCGAAGCCCCGGUAAACGGCGGCCGUAACAAUAACGGUCCUAAGGUAGCGAAAUUCCUUGUCGGGUAAGUUCCGACCUGCACGAAUGGCGUAACGAUGGCGGCGCUGUCUCCACCCGAGACUCAGUGAAAUUGAAAUCGCUGUGAAGAUGCAGUGUAUCCGCGGCUAGACGGAAAGACCCCGUGAACCUUUACUGUAGCUUUGCACUGGACUUUGAGCCUGCUUGUGUAGGAUAGGUGGGAGGCUUUGAAGCGUGGACGCCAGUUCGUGUGGAGCCAUCCUUGAAAUACCACCCUGGCAUGCUUGAGGUUCUAACUCUGGUCCGUAAUCCGGAUCGAGGACAGUGUAUGGUGGGCAGUUUGACUGGGGCGGUCUCCUCCUAAAGAGUAACGGAGGAGUACGAAGGUGCGCUCAGACCGGUCGGAAAUCGGUCGCAGAGUAUAAAGGCAAAAGCGCGCUUGACUGCGAGACAGACACGUCGAGCAGGUACGAAAGUAGGUCUUAGUGAUCCGGUGGUUCUGUAUGGAAGGGCCAUCGCUCAACGGAUAAAAGGUACUCCGGGGAUAACAGGCUGAUACCGCCCAAGAGUUCAUAUCGACGGCGGUGUUUGGCACCUCGAUGUCGGCUCAUCACAUCCUGGGGCUGAAGCCGGUCCCAAGGGUAUGGCUGUUCGCCAUUUAAAGUGGUACGCGAGCUGGGUUUAGAACGUCGUGAGACAGCUCGGUCCCUAUCUGCCGUGGACGUUUGAGAUUUGAGAGGGGCUGCUCCUAGUACGAGAGGACCGGAGUGGACGAACCUCUGGUGUUCCGGUUGUCACGCCAGUGGCAUUGCCGGGUAGCUAUGUUCGGAAAAGAUAACCGCUGAAAGCAUCUAAGCGGGAAACUUGCCUCAAGAUGAGAUCUCACUGGGAACUUGAUUCCCCUGAAGGGCCGUCGAAGACUACGACGUUGAUAGGCUGGGUGUGUAAGCGUUGUGAGGCGUUGAGCUGACCAGUACUAAUUGCCCGUGAGGCUUGACC
rnacentral:rRNA from 1 species